GACACAGGGAGGUAGUGACAAGAAAUAACAAUACGGGGCUUAAAGUCUUGUAGUUGGAAUGAUGGGAAUUUAAACCUCUUCCAGAGUAUCAAUUGGAGGGCAAGUCUGGUGCCAGCAGCCGCGGUAAUUCCAGCUCCAAUAGCGUAUAUUAAAAUUGUUGCAGUUAAAAAGCUCGUAGUUGAAUUUCUGCUACAUUGCUUGUGUCCCUCUGGGGUCUGUGCAUGUGGCUUUUUUCGGACGGAGUUUCUUUGUCUGAAUGUUUACUUCGAGAAAAUUAGAGUGCUCAAAGCAGGCUUUCGCCUUGAAUAGUUUAGCAUGGAAUAAUAAAGUAGGACUUUGGUUCUAUUUUGUUGGUUUUAGGUACCAAAGUAAUGGUUAAUAGGAACAGUUGGGGGCAUUCGUAUUUAACUGUCAGAGGUGAAAUUCUUAGAUUUGUUAAAGACGAACUACUGCGAAAGCAUUUGCCAAGGAUGUUUUCAUUAAUCAAGAACGAAAGUUAGGGGAUCGAAGA
rnacentral:rRNA from 1 species